CCUACGGGAGGCAGCAGUGGGGAAUAUUGCACAAUGGGGGACACCCUGAUGCAGCAACGCCGCGAGAGCGGUGAAGGCCUUCGGGUCGUAAAGCUCUGUCCUAAGGGGAGAAUACUGACGGUACUUUAGGAGGAAGCCCCGGCUAACUACGCGCCAGCAGCCGCGGUAAUACGUAGGGGGCUAGCGUUAUGCGGAAUUACUGGGCGUAAAGGGUGCGUAGGCUGCCCUUCAAGUCAGAGGUGAAAGGCUACGGCGCAACCGUAGUAAGGCUUUGAAAGUGUAGGGCUUGGGUGGAGGAGAGGAGAGUGGAAUUCCCAGUGUAGCGGUGAAAUGCGUAGAUAUUGGGAGGAACACCAGUUGCGAAGGCGUCUCUCUGGCCUGUAACUGACGCUGAGGCACGAAAGCGUGGGGAGCGAACAGGAUUAGAUACCCGUGUAGUC
rnacentral:rRNA from 1 species